GAGCGAAGCGCUUAAGUCUGAUUCUUCGGAUGAAGACUUUUGUGACUGAGCGGCGGACGGGUGAGUAACGCGUGGGUAACCUGCCUCAUACAGGGGGAUAACAGUUAGAAAUGACUGCUAAUACCGCAUAAGACCACGGUACCGCAUGGUACAGUGGUAAAAACUCCGGUGGUAUGAGAUGGACCCGCGUCUGAUUAGGUAGUUGGUGGGGUAACGGCCUACCAAGCCAACGAUCAGUAGCCGACCUGAGAGGGUGACCGGCCACAUUGGGACUGAGACACGGCCCAGACUCCUACGGGAGGCAGCAGUGGGGAAUAUUGCACAAUGGAGGAAACUCUGAUGCAGCGACGCCGCGUGAAGGAUGAAGUAUUUCGGUAUGUAAACUUCUAUCAGCAGGGAAGAAAAUGACGGUACCUGACUAAGAAGCCCCGGCUAACUACGUGCCAGCAGCCGCGGUAAUACGUAGGGGGCAAGCGUUAUCCGGAUUUACUGGGUGUAAAGGGAGCGUAGACGGCACGGCAAGCCAGAUGUGAAAGCCCGGGGCUCAACCCCGGGACUGCAUUUGGAACUGCUGAGCUAGAGUGUCGGAGAGGCAAGUGGAAUUCCUAGUGUAGCGGUGGAAUGCGUAGAUAUUAGGAGGAACACCAGUGGCGAAGGCGGCUUGC
rnacentral:rRNA from 1 species